rnacentral:tRNA from 1 species
GUUAAGAUGGCAGAGCCCGGUAAUUGCAAAAGGCCUAAGCCCUUUUAUCCGGGGGUUCAAAUCCCCCUCUUAACC